UGGGAAAACUCUCGCAAGAGGCUUAGCAGCUGCAGAAGCCAAAGCCCACGGUCUAGCUGUUUGCGUGCUGAGGGUCAGCAGCAAGGGAAGCGGGGCUGCAGUGGCUCCCCAGGUCUCGCACCGGCACAAGAGAAGAGUGUUCGAGCCCACCCACUUCUCCGGAGGCCAAAUAUGCUGCUCCUCUGGUACCCUCCCUCCUAGACAGGAGCUGCCCAGAGCGGGGAAGAUUCUUGGCAUCUACUGUGUUGUCCUAGGCUCCUGGGACUUGUGACACGCUACCCCUCUGCCUGGUGUGACACACUUCCUCACCCCUUCAGCCUGGCAUAGAGGACUGAGCAAUCAAAAUGGACAUAAUCGGGGAUCCCUGGCUGGCGCAGCGGUUUGGCGCCUGCCUUUGGCCCAGGGCACGAUCCUGGAGACCCGGGAUCGAAUCCCACGUCGGGCUCCCGGUGCAUGGAGCCUGCUUCUCCCUCUGCCUG